rnacentral:rRNA from 1 species
UACAGAGGGUGCAAGCGUUAAUCGGAAUUACUGGGCGUAAAGCGUGCGCAGUCGGUUAUUUAAGUCGGAUGUGAAAUCCCCGGGCUCAACCUGGGAAUUGCAUUCGAUACUGGAUGGCUAGAGUUCGGCAGAGGGAAGUGGAAUUUCAGGUGUAGCGGUGAAAUGCGUAGAUAUCGGGAGGAACACCAAUGGCGAAGGCAGCUCGCUGGGACGGUACUGACGCUGAGACGCGAAAGCGUGGGGAGCAAACAGGG